rnacentral:rRNA from 1 species
AUUGAACGCUGGCGGCAUGCCUAACACAUGCAAGUCGAACGGGGCAGCAAUGCCUAGUGGCGGACGGGUGAGGAAUACGUAGGAAUCUGCCCUUAAGUGGGGGAUAACCAGGGGAAACCCUGACUAAUACCGCAUGAUCUCUUCGGAGCAAAGAGGGGGACCGCAAGGCCUCUCGCUUCUGGAUGAGCCUACGUCUGAGUAGCUAGUUAGUAGGGUAAAGGCCUACCAAGGCGACGAUCAGUACCUGGUCUGAGAGGAUGAUCAGUCACACCGGAACUGAGACACGGUCCGGACUCCUACGGGAGGCAGCAGUGUGGAAUUUUGGACAAUGGGCGUAAGCCUGAUCCAGCAAUGCCGCGUGUGUGAAGAAGGCCUUCGGGUUGUAAAGCACUUUAGCCUGGAAAGAAACACUUUGGUUAACACCCAAAGUCUUGACGGUACCAGGAGAAUAAGCACCGGCUAACUCUGUGCCAGCCGCCGCGGUAAAAC